CCUACGGGAGGCAGCAGUGGGGAAUAUUGCGCAAUGGGCGAAAGCCUGACGCAGCGACGCCGCGUGAGGGAUGAAGGUCUUCGGAUCGUAAACCUCUGUCAGCAGGGAAGAACGGUCACGGUGCUAAUCAGCAGUGAAUGGACGGUACCAGCAAAGGAAGCACCGGCUAACUCCGGGCCAGCAGCCGCGGUAAUACGGAGGGUGCGAGCGUUAAUCGGAAUUACUGGGCGUAAAGCGCGCGUAGGCGGUAUGUCAAGUCAAGGGUGAAAUCCCCGCGCUCAACGUGGGAACUGCCUUUGAAACUGGCAACCUGUAGUGUGUGAGAGGCUAGUGGAAUUCCAGGUGUAGGCGU
rnacentral:rRNA from 1 species